GGUGAACGCUGGCGGCGUGCUUAACACAUGCAAGUCGAACGAUUGAAGCUGGAGCUUGCUCCGGCCGAUUUAGUGGCGGACGGGUGAGUAACGCGUGGGUAACCUGCCUCAUACAGGGGGAUAGCAGUUGGAAACGACUGGUAAAACCGCAUAAGCGCACGGUGUCGCAUGACACAGUGUGAAAACACUCCGGUGGUAUGAGAUGGACCCGCGUCUGAUUAGCUAGUUGGUGAGGUAACGGCCCACCAAGGCGACGAUCAGUAGCCGGCCUGAGAGGGUGAACGGCCACAUUGGGACUGAGACACGGCCCAAACUCCUACGGGAGGCAGCAGUGGGGAAUAUUGCACAAUGGGGGAAACCCUGAUGCAGCGACGCCGCGUGAGUGAUGAAGUAUUUCGGUAUGUAAAGCUCUAUCAGCAGGGAAGAUAAUGACGGUACCUGACUAAGAAGCACCGGCUA
rnacentral:rRNA from 1 species